UACAGAGGUCUCGAGCGUUAGGCGGAAUCACUGGGCUUAAAGCGUGUGUAGGCGGAUCGGUAAGUACCUUGUGAAAUCCCACAGCUUAACUGUGGAACUGCUCGGUAUACUGCCAGUCUUGAGCCAGCUAGGGGCUACCGGAACAAAUGGUGGAGCGGUGAAAUGCGUAGAUAUCAUGUGGAACGCCAAUGGUGAAAACAGGUAGCUGGGGCUGUGCUGACGCUGAGACACGAAAGCCAGGGGAGCAAACGGG
rnacentral:rRNA from 1 species